UGUUAAACUAGUCAUCCAUCUGUAGUGUUAAAAAAAUAGUAUAACUAACUGAAUAACCAGACAACGAUACUUGGUGUGCCACAUACACCUCACGCUGAUGUAUAGAGAUCAGUUUUUAAUCGUAAAAAUUUAUGAAACUUUUAAUA
rnacentral:pre_miRNA from 1 species